AAGUCGUAACAAGGUUUCCGUAGGCGAACCUGCGGAAGGAUCAUUAGUGAAAUUAGGGUGGCUACUUUGUAGUGCCCAACCUCCACUUCUAACACUGUGCACUUAUUGGCAAAUUUCGAAUUAGUAACAACUUUAGUGUUGUAAUUGAUUUGUUAUUUGUGGCUUUAUUUUUAAACUCCUAAGCUAUAGAAUGUCAACCAAUUUAAAAAAAAAG
rnacentral:misc_RNA from 1 species